rnacentral:rRNA from 1 species
CAGUCGAGCGGAACGAUGAUAGCUUGCUAUCAGGCGUCGAGCGGCGGACGGGUGAGUAAUACUUAGGAAUCUACCUAGUAGUGGGGGAUAGCACGGGGAAACUCGUAUUAAUACCGCAUACGACCUACGGGAGAAAGGGGGCAGUUUACUGCUCUCGCUAUUAGAUGAGCCUAAGUCGGAUUAGCUAGAUGGUGGGGUAAAGGCCUACCAUGGCGACGAUCUGUAGCUGGUCUGAGAGGAUGAUCAGCCACACCGGGACUGAGACACGGCCCGGACUCCUACGGGAGGCAGCAGUGGGGAAUAUUGGACAAUGGGGGAAACCCUGAUCCAGCCAUGCCGCGUGUGUGAAGAAGGCCUUUUGGUUGUAAAGCACUUUAAGCAGUGAAGAAGACUCCGUGGUUAAUACCCACGGACGAUGACAUUAGCUGCAGAAUAAGCACCGGCUAACUCUGUGCCAGCAGCCGCGGUAAUACAGAGGGUGCAAGCGUUAAUCGGAAUUACUGGGCGUAAAGGGAGCGUAGGUGGCUCGAUAAGUCAGAUGUGAAAUCCCCGGGCUCAACCUGGGAACUGCAUCUGAUACUGUUGAGCUAGAGUAUGUGAGAGGAAGGUAGAAUUUCCAGGUGUAGCGGUGAAAUGCGUAGAGAUCUGGAGGAAUACCGAUGGCGAAGGCAGCCUUCUGGCAUAAUACUGACACUGAGGCUCGAAAGCGUGGGUAGCAAACAGGAUUAGAUACCCUGGUAGUCCACGCCGUAAACGAUGUCUACUAGUCGUUGGGUCCCUUGAGGACUUAGUGACGCAGCUAACGCAAUAAGUAGACCGCCUGGGGAGUACGGCCGCAAGGUUAAAACUCAAAUGAAUUGACGGGGGCCCGCACAAGCGGUGGAGCAUGUGGUUUAAUUCGAUGCAACGCGAAGAACCUUACCUGGUCUUGACAUAUCUAGAAUCCUGCAGAGAUGCGGGAGUGCCUUCGGGAAUUAGAAUACAGGUGCUGCAUGGCUGUCGUCAGCUCGUGUCGUGAGAUGUUGGGUUAAGUCCCGCAACGAGCGCAACCCUUGUCCUUAGUUACCAGCGGGUUAAGCCGGGAACUCUAAGGAUACUGCCAGUGACAAACUGGAGGAAGGCGGGGACGACGUCAAGUCAUCAUGGCCCUUACGACCAGGGCUACACACGUGCUACAAUGGUAGGUACAGAGGGCAGCUACACAGCGAUGUGAUGCGAAUCUCAAAAAGCCUAUCGUAGUCCAGAUUGGAGUCUGCAACUCGACUCCAUGAAGUAGGAAUCGCUAGUAAUCGCGGAUCAGAAUGCCGCGGUGAAUACGUUCCCGGGCCUUGUACACACCGCCCGUCACACCAUGGGAGUUGAUUGCACCAGAAGUGGGUAGCCUAACCUUUUAGGAAGGCGC